GAAGGCCUGCGUCCUCUCACUCACCAAUUCCUCUUCCUUCAUCACCAUGGCUGCCUGCUUCACCUCGUCAGAGUCUGAAGAUCACCAGUCAAAAGUCACACAUCACACAAAAACAGAGAUCAGAAUAAAAUAGAUUCGACAGGGGAGACGUCAAGAAGCCAUAGACUUAUACCACGGACCUCCCACCAGCUGUGUGUGUUUACCGUAUUUGGAGUAACCUGUAGCGGUGAUGAUGGGCACAGCGACCAUCACCAGGCCGGAGGCGCUCCAAACGUACUUCAUGAGGAACU